rnacentral:lncRNA from 1 species
AGAGUCUAUUAGUUUUGCAAGCAGGCAUGUUGUUCAGGCUGCUUAGGCUAUUUUGAAGUGAGAAUGGAAAACAAGGAGAGGCCAUAUCAAGACAGAAGGAGGCUGACCUUCUAUCAUGCUGUAGAACAACAAGAAAGAAAUGGUCCUGGGGAAGGUCCAGAUCUACUGGGAAGGCAUCAUCCCAACCCUCCACCAUCUCUAAGGAGGAGGAGAGGUUGAAGAGGUUGGAGAAUCUGACGAUCUCCAGAAGAUGACAAAUGGGAGGGAUGAACUCUGGGGAAUCCUGGCCCAUUACACUAACAAGGAUUUGAACAACAACAGAUGCAUUAAAGCUUUACUGCAGAAGG